rnacentral:rRNA from 1 species
UACAGAGGUCCCAAGCGUUGUUCGGAUUCAUUGGGCGUAAAGGGUGCGUAGGCGGCGCGGUAAGUCGGGUGUGAAAUCUCGGAGCUUAACUCCGAAACUGCAUUCGAUACUGCCGUGCUUGAGGACUGGAGAGGAGACUGGAAUUUACGGUGUAGCGGUGAAAUGCGUAGAUAUCGUGAGGAACACCAGAGGCGAAGGCGGUUACCUGGACAGUUACUGACGCUCAGGCACGAAAGCGUGGGGAGCAAAAGGG